GUGAAUUUUAAUUUUUCUGAUAUCAUUUACAGGUUCAUUUUAGUUGACUGUUCAGUACCGCACCUCGACGAGCACGGAAUUGUCUAUCUUGGCAUCUCAGGGCUUAGUAGUUCAGACCGUGGAGACAUUCGACGCUGGGACGACUCAAACUAACAGUACUCAGGGAGUUCCUGAUCCUAUUUAUUUUUAGUUGACGCUAUUUCUUUAUUUUAGAAUUGCAUCAAUUAACUCGUUGUGUGCUGGCCAUUUGAUAAUAUUGCCUUCGACCUAUUUGAUUGUUUUUCACGAACUAAAUUCCAUUGAUAUGUACUAGCCCUUUGAUAAUACUGCCUUAAACCUAUUCGAUUAUAUUUCACGAACUAAAUUCCAUUACUCAAUCGUUUACCCCACGUGACUAGACCUAGUAUUUGGACAUUUGCUUUUCUAUUUUAUUAGCAUUAGUAGUAUUAGCUUGCGAUCGAGCCAUAAGUAACCCCAANN
rnacentral:lncRNA from 1 species